rnacentral:rRNA from 1 species
ACGGGGUGCAGCAGGCGCGAAAACUUUGCAAUGUGCGAAAGCACGACAAGGUUAAUCCGAGUGGCCUCUGCUGAAGAGGUCUUUUGACAGUCCUAGAAACACUGUCGAAUAAGGGGUGGGCAAGUUCUGGUGUCAGCCGCCGCGGUAAAACCAGCACCUCAAGUGGUCAGGAUGAUUAUUGGGCCUAAAGCAUCCGUAGCCGGAUCUAUAAGUUUUCGGUUAAAUCUAUGCGCUCAACGUAUAGGCUGCCGGAAAUACUGUGGAUCUAGGGAGUGGGAGAGGUAGACGGUACUCGGUAGGAAGAGGUAAAAUUCACUAAUCUAUCGAUGACCACCUGUGGCGAAGGCGGUCUACCAGAACACGUCCGACGGUGAGGGAUGAAAGCUGGGGGAGCAAACCGGAUUAGAUACCCGGGUAGUCCCAGCUGUAAACAAUGCAAACUCAAUGAUGCAUCGGGUUGAACCCGGUGCAGUGUUGCAGGGAAGCCGUUAAGUUUGCCGCCUGGGAAGUACGUACGCAAGUAUGAAACUUAAAGGAAUUGGCGGGGGAGCAC